rnacentral:rRNA from 1 species
UACGUAGGGAGCAAGCGUUGUCCGGAAUCAUUGGGCGUAAAGCGCGCGUAGGUGGCUUCGUAAGUCCGUUGUGAAAGUCAAAGGCUCAACCUUUGAAAGCCGAUGGAUACUGCGGAGCUAGAGUACGGAAGAGGCGAGUGGAAUUCCUGGUGUAGCGGUGGAAUGCGCAGAUAUCGGGAAGAACAUCAGUGGCGAAGGCGGCCUGCUGGGCUGUUGCUGACGCUGAGGCGCGACAGCGUGGGGAGCAAACAGG